rnacentral:rRNA from 1 species
AUGGGAACGCGAAGAACCUUACCUACUCUUGACAUCCAGAGAACUUUCCAGAGAUGCUUUGGUGCCUUCGGGAACUCUGAGACAGGUGCUGCAUGGCUGUCGUCAGCUCGUGUUGUGAAAUGUUGGGUUAAGUCCCGCAACGAGCGCAACCCUUAUCCUUUGUUGCCAGCGGUCCGGCCGGGAACUCAAAGGAGACUGCCAGUGAUAAACUGGAGGAAGGUGGGGAUGACGUCAAGUCAUCAUGGCCCUUACGAGUAGGGCUACACACGUGCUACAAUGGCGCAUACAAAGAGAAGCGACCUCGCGAGAGCAAGCGGACCUCAUAAAGUGCGUCGUAGUCCGGAUUGGAGUCUGCAACUCGACUCCAUGAAGUCGGAAUCGCUAGUAAUCGUAGAUCAGAAUGCUACGGUGAAUACGUUCCCGGG